GUAAAUUCUAACGGAAAGUCGUGUAGAGUUUGUGUCCACGUGAGGCCAGCCUUCUCUGCCAAUUCCCUAGCGCUUUCAAUAUCAACACAUGAUUCCUUGAA
rnacentral:ribozyme from 1 species